AGUUUGCAUUGAGACUCUGGAGAAGAUGCUGGGAGAAUAUUGUGCAGUUGAUCUUCUCAUCAAAGUAUCAGCUUUUCUAAACGUGUCAGUCAGCUACAGCGAAAGGCUACAUCAAAGAGCAAGAUGACCUCAACGCAAUACCAGGAAUGAAAAGAAUUCCUGAGUUCUGAGCCCAGCCGCAGGGUAAUUUCAGAAGCCUUCCUGUCACUCCUGACAACCUUCAGAGAUAAACUAACAAGCCUACGUCCACGUAAUGGACUUCAAAGUAAAUUGUUGCAAUGUUGAACCUAAUUACCCUGAUGCUUGGUGGAAUCUGUAACCCUGCGACAGGCACAUGGGCUUCCGCUGCCUUGAAGCUCCUGAAGAAAUAGGCUUGGGAGAAUAACAUCCACCAAAGGCAGGGAAAUGACACAAAGUAGGAAAUGCGAAUAAGGAUAUCUAUCAGCAUCCCCCGGCAGGCAGUCACUCGUCUCCUGGCUGGGCACUGAUUGACUCUUUCCCCUGCUGAGGUUCUCAGAUGUGAACUCUCUUCUGAUUUCAGGAGCUUAACACAGGUUACUCACCACGACACAACAUAGAGAGUGUAGGUAUUACAUCCAGUAGACCCAACUGGAACAUUCACUGGGACUGCAGGAGACCCACGCUCAAGUCCCAACUCUGGCUGACUCAGUCUCUCAGGUCGUUGUUGAAAAUUCCCCGUGGUGCAGUGCUUAGAGCAACUGGGGAGCAAAACCAAACUCUUUGGUCCCUUUCAUGCAAGGAAUUAUACAGUAAGUAUGAUUUAAAGAUAUCUACAUGAUUAGAUGUAAAAGGCAAAAAGAUUUGUGAAAUCUUCAGGUAUUUAACCAUUGGCCUGUUUGGCACCACCAGGACUGUGAUUGUGAUAUCCAGAAACAUGUCAAGUAUAGCAAGACAGCAUCUUGGACCCAUAAAACAGCAGUAGAGAAAUGGCUUUGAAGAUCUAAAUUUUGACCUGAAAACAUUAGUCACCUGCAAGUUAUUUGAAGUGAAUGUGUCUUCGCAUGAUUUCGCCCAAGUGGAUUUAAUUGCAGAAGGAGGGCCUGAAGACUUAUCUGGAGAGCAUCUUCUGGAAGCAUUAAAGCUUAAGACUGGUGAAAAAUCCAUUGGUACUGAAAGACUGUCUUCUAGACACUCUUAGAUAUAAAAUCAACACCCAGAAUAAGUGCUAAAACAAUUUUAUUUUGUAUAUGAUUUUUCAAGAUAGCUACAAAACAUUGCACGAAGCAGACAAAAUGAAAGUAAUAAUCUUCAAAGCCUAACACCACAUCCUUUUUCUUCUGGCAUAAGUACAAAAAUGCAAACUAGAAGAAGAUAGCUGCUUACUGAAACCGCUUUUGCACAGACUGGAUCCAAACUGCUUUCCUCUCUUCGGCUAAAGUCUCUUUAAAAAAAAGAAAUAAACUAAUCUGUGGGGAAGAAGGACUGCAGCAAACCUAAUACAAAAAGAAAGAAACAUAUUAUGUGGAAAAUGUAAACUUA